rnacentral:rRNA from 1 species
CCUACGGGGGGCUGCAGUAAGGAAUAUUGGUCAAUGGAGGAAACUCUGAACCAGCCAUCCCGCGUGAAGGAUGAAGGGGCUCUGCCUUGUAAACUUCUUUUGUCUGGGGCGAAAAAGCUCGAUUUAUCGAGAACUGACGGUACCAGAAGAAUAAGCACCGGCUAACUCCGUGCCAGCAGCAGCGGUAAUACGGAGGGGGCAAGCGUCACUCGGAAUCACGGGUGCGUAGGGGUGUUAGUGCGGCAGUGGAGAAAGGCUGUGGCUUAACCAUGGAAUUGCUCUUGAUCCUGCAGAGCUUGAAUGAGGUUGAGGUUGGCGGAAUGUGACAUGUAGCGGUGAAAUGCUUAGAUAUGUCAUGGAACACCGAUUGCGAAGGCAGCUGACUGGACCUAUAUUGACGCUGAGGCACGAAAGCGUGGGGAGCGAACAGGAUUAGAUACCCUUGUAGUC